rnacentral:rRNA from 1 species
UACGAAGGUCUCAAGCGUUAUCCGGAUUUAUUGGGUUUAAAGGGUGCGUAGGCGGGCUAUUAAGUCAGUGGUGAAAGCCCCAAGCUUAACUUGGGAACUGCCAUUGAUACUGAUGGUCUUGAGUACAUUUGAGGUGGGCGGAAUGUGUCAUGUAGCGGUGAAAUGCUUAGAUAUGACACAGAACACCGAUUGCGAAGGCAGCUCACUAAACUGUAACUGACGCUGAGGCACGAAAGCGUGGGGAGCAAACAGG